rnacentral:rRNA from 1 species
UACCCGUUUGCAUGUACUUUAUGAAUAAGGAUCGGCUAACUCCGUGCCAGCAGCCGCGGUAAUACGGAGGAUCCGAGCGUUAUUCGGAUUUAUUGGGUUUAAAGGGAGCGUAGAUGGAUGUUUAAGUCAGUUGUGAAAGUUUGCGGCUCAACCGUAAAAUUGCAGUUGAUACUGGAUAUCUUGAGUGCAGUUGAGGCAGGCGGAAUUCUUGGUGUAACGGUGAAAAUGCUUAGAUAUCACGAAAAACUCCGAUUGCGAAGGCAGCCUGCUAACCUGCAACUGACAUUUGAGGUCGAAAGUGUGGGUAUCAAACAAGAUUAGAUACCCUGGUAGUCCACACGGUAAACGAUGAAUACUCGCUGUUUGCGAUAUACAGCAAGCGGCCAAGCGAAAGCGUUAAGUAUUCCACCUGGGGAGUACGCCGGCAACGGUGAAACUCAAAGGAAUUGACGGGGGCCCGCACAAGCGGAGGAACAUGUGGUUUAAUUCGAUGAUACGCGAGGAACCUUACCCGGGCUUAAAUUGCAGAUGAAUUACGGUGAAAGCCGUAAGCCGCAAGGCAUCUGUGAAGGUGCUGCAUGGUUGUCGUCAGCUCGUGCCGUGAGGUGUCGGCUUAAGUGCCAUAACGAGCGCAACCCUUGUUGUCAGUUACUAACAGGUUCCGCUGAGGACUCUGACAAGACUGCCAUCGUAAGAUGUGAGGAAGGUGGGGAUGACGUCAAAUCAGCACGGCCCUUACGUCCGGGGCUACACACGUGUUACAAUGGGGGGUACAGAGGGCCGCUACCACGCGAGUGGAUGCCAAUCCCCAAAACCUCUCUCAGUUCGGACUGGAGUCUGCAACCCGACUCCACGAAGCUGGAUUCGCUAGUAAUCGCGCAUCAGCCACGGCGCGGUGAAUACGUUCCCGGGCCUUGUACACACCGCCCGUCAAG